GAUGAACGCUAGCGGCAGGCUUAAUACAUGCAAGUCGAGGGGGUAACAGGUCCUUCGGUAGUGCUGACGACCGGCAAACGGGUGAGUAACACGUAUGCAAUCUACCUCUAACUGGGGCACAACUUUGGGAAACUGAAGCUAAUUCCCCGUAACAAUAUGAAAUCGCAUGGUUUUGUAUUUAUAAUUCCGAUGGUUAGAGAUGAGCGUGCGUCCGAUUAGAUAGUUGGCGGGGUAACGGCCACCAAGUCAACGAUCGGUAGCUGAUGUGAGAGCAUGAUCAGCCACACGGGCACUGAGACACGGGCCCGACUCCUACGGGAGGCAGCAGUAGGGAAUAUUGGGCAAUGGAGGAAACUCUGACCCAGCCAUGCCGCGUGAAGGAUGAAUGUCCUAUGGAUUGUAAACUU
rnacentral:rRNA from 1 species